rnacentral:rRNA from 1 species
AUUGAACGCUGGCGGCAUGCCUUACACAUGCAAGUCGAACGGCAGCGGGGGAGAAGCUUGCUUUUCCUGCCGGCGAGUGGCGAACGGGUGAGUAAUACAUCGGAACGUGCCCUGUAGUGGGGGAUAACUAGUCGAAAGAUUAGCUAAUACCGCAUACGACCUGAGGGUGAAAGUGGGGGACCGCAAGGCCUCCUGCUAUAGGAGCGGCCGAUGUCUGAUUAGCUAGUUGGUGGGGUAAAGGCCUACCAAGGCGACGAUCAGUAGCUGGUCUGAGAGGACGAUCAGCCACACUGGGACUGAGACACGGCCCAGACUCCUACGGGAGGCAGCAGUGGGGAAUUUGGGACAAUGGGCGGAAGCCUGAUCCAGCAAUGCCGCGUGUGUGAAGAAGGCCUUCGGGUUGUAAAGCACUUUUGUCCGGAAAGAAAUGGCUCUGGUUAAUACCUGGGGUCGAUGACGGUACCGGAAGAAUAAGGACCGGCUAACUACGUGCCAGCCGCCGCGGUAA